rnacentral:misc_RNA from 1 species
AAAGUCGUAACAAGGUUUCCGUAGGUGAACCUGCGGAAGGAUCAUUAAAAAUUCAGAGUGUUUACGCAUUCGAAUUUCCACCCUGUGUAUCUGUUACCGUAUGCUUUCGCCGGGCUGUGGAGCGUGGCACCUUCGGGUGACGCCUCCCCUUCUGAUUGGGCAACAGCCCUCUCGGAGGAGUCCUGGCGGGAGCCAAACAACCAAACCCUUUAUAUACAUAACGUCUGAAACUGAUCUAAAAAAUCAAUUAAAACUUUCAACAAUGGAUCUCUUGGUUCUC